rnacentral:rRNA from 1 species
UGGGGUAUAUUGGAUAACGGGCGAAAGCCUGAUCCAGCCAUGCUGCGUGUGUGAAGAUGGUCUUCGGAUUGUAAAGCACUUUAAGUUGGGAGGAAGGGCAGUAAGCGAAUACCUUGCUGUUUUGACGCUACCGACAGAAUAAGCACUGGCUAACUCUGUGCCAGCAGCCGCGGCAAUACAGUGGGUGCAAUCGUUAAUCGGAAUUACUGGGCGUAAAGCGCGCGUAGGUGGUUCGUUAAGUUGAAUGUGAAAGCCCCGGGCUCAAGCUGGGAACUGCAUCCAAAACUGGCGAGCUAGAGUAGAGCAGAGGGUGGUGGAGUUUCCUGUGUGGCGGUGAAAGGCGUGGAUAUAGAAAGGAACACCAAUGGCGAAAGCGGCCACCUGGGCGCAUACAGACACUUAGAUACGAAAGCGUGGGGAGCAAACAGG